UACGGGGGGGAGCAAGCGUUGUUCGGAUUUACUGGGCGUAAAGGGCGCGUAGGCGGCGUGACAAGUCACUUGUGAAAUCUCCGGGCUUAACUCGGAACGGUCAAGUGAUACUGUCGUGCUAGAGUACAGAAGGGGCAACUGGAAUUCUCGGUGUAGCGGUGAAAUGCGUAGAUAUCGUAAGGAAGACCAGUGGCGAAGGCGGGUCUCUGGACAGUUCCUGACGCUGAGGUGCGAAAGCGUGGGGAGCAAACAGG
rnacentral:rRNA from 1 species